UACGGAGGGUGCGAGCGUUGUCCGGAAUCAUUGGGCGUAAAGGGCGCGUAGGUGGCGGGACAAGCGUGCGGUGAAAGCUCGGGGCUCAACCCCGCGUCGGCCGUGCGAACUGUUUUGCUUGAGCACUGUAGAGGCAGGCGGAAUUCCGGGUGUAGCGGUGGAAUGCGUAGAGAUCCGGAAGAACACCGGUGGCGAAGGCGGCCUGCUGGGCAGUAGCUGACACUGAGGCGCGACAGCGUGGGAGCAACAGG
rnacentral:rRNA from 1 species